GAUGAACGCUGGCGGCGUGCUUAACACAUGCAAGUCGAACGAAGCACUGUAUUUGAUUUCCUUCGGGACUGAUUAUUUUGUGACUGAGUGGCGGACGGGUGAGUAACGCGUGGGUAACCUGCCUUGUACAGGGGGAUAACAGAUGGAAACGGCUGCUAAUACCGCAUAAGCGCACAGCAUCGCAUGAUGCAGUGUGAAAAACUCUGGUGGUAUAAGAUGGACGCUCGUUGGAUUAGCUAGUUGGUGAGGUAACGGGCCACGAAGGAGACGAUCCAUAGACGAGCUGUGAGGGUGACCGGCCACAUUGGGGCUGGGACACAGCCGGAACUCCUACGGGAGGCAGCAGUGGGGGAUAGUGCAACAUGGGCGAAGGCAUGAUGCAGCGACGCCGGGUGAGCGCAGAAGUAUUUCAGUAUGUAAAGCUCUAGCAGCAGUGCAGAUCAUGACGGUACCUGACCAAGAAGCACCGGCUAAAUACGUG
rnacentral:rRNA from 1 species